rnacentral:lncRNA from 1 species
GCUGGUGGCCUCUGAGAAGUAGCCGGUAUCGGCGCCAUGCAAUCUGGCAAGGCCGGUUCCAGCGGCACUGCCGCAGAGCAGGACAGAACUCAGCUGCCAAGAAGGCGGGGCCUCGGGAGAAAAGGUGCUACGAAAGGGCAGCCAAAAAGGGUAAAAUGCUGCUCAGCAGUGGGGAGCAAGGAGGAAAAAGUGUGAGAAACCGCUGUGCAAAGUGUAAGGUUAAACAUAGACUUAGGAAUGCCAUCCUGAGAUUUUUCCCGAGUCUGGGUAUUUGUGAGUGGCAGCAAGUGCGGGAGGAUAUGGAUUGGUAUCUAGAGCAGUGGAUAACUCCAGUGUUUUUGAAAUUCACCCCUGAACAACUGGAAAUUCCUAAAAAACUGGUAGAACACUUGAAAAAGGGAUGUCAUGACUCUGGCAAUUCCAAAGAGACACAAUUCGCUGUAGCGUGCCAUGGUCUGGCCUAUGCCUGUCGAGCUUCAAUCGAUGCUACUAUAACUCUAGUGACAGACCCUGUGGCCACUCCAAGUCCUGAGACAGGCCCGAUGGCCCCUGCAGCCCCUGCAGCCACUCCAACCCCUACAAUGGACCCUGCGGCCACUGCAGUCCCUGCAGUCACUCCAACCUCUGCAGCCACGUCAGCCCCUGUGGCCUCUCCAGCUCCUGUGGCUACUCCAGCCCCUGCAGCUUCUCCAGCCCCUGUGGCUACUGCAGCCCCUGUGGUUUCUUCAGCCCCUGCGGUCUUUCCAGCUCCCAUGGCUUCUCCAGCUCCUGUGGCCACUCCAGCUCCUGCGGCCAGUCCAACCCCUGUGAUUGGCCCAGCGGUGGUUCCAGCUCCUGUGACAAGCCCAGCAGUCAUUCCAGCCCCUGUGGCAGGUCUUGUGGCUGGGGCAGAGAAAUGAACUGUAGCAGUGCAAACUGCCCCUGUAGACAUGGUGAAAAAAGUGGUAUAGAGAGUCAAAUUGUUUCGAAUGCAGAGAAACUCCUGCUAAGACUAAGUAUAGAAAAGACAAGGCCGGACCAUCAGAGGAACAGGAGGAUGAAGAUGAAUAUGUCAAAUAAGCAACAGUAACUACCCAAAACCCAUACCGGUGUGAGCUACGAGAUGUGCGAAAAGAUUUUGGUCGCUGUAUAGGUGAGCAGCUUGUCAGCUGGCUGCUCCGGUGCUGGGACACUGGAGCCAGUUGUCUGGAAUUAGAGGGUACGGAAGCCAGGCGGCUGGGAUCCCUUGCUAGAGAUGCAGACAUUGACAAAGCAGUUGAAGAUGGAGCACCACCUUUCAGCCUCUGGAGGCGCCUCCUGUCAGCUGUGAAGGAAAGAUACCCCUUCAAGGAAGAACUCCUAUGUCUACCAGGCAAGUGGACCACUAUGGAGAAGGGAAUCCAGUACCUGAGAGAAUGAGCCAUACGAGAGGUGAUUUAUAGGGACCUAGACAAUGAACAAAUACCCACAGAUUCAGAUGAAGUCCAGUGUACACGACCCACGUGGCAGAAGCUUGUACAGAGUGCACCAUCAUCAUAUGCCAGCUCAUUGGCAGUAAUGGCCUGGGAAGAACAUGAGGAACCCACAGUGGAUGAAGUGACUGAGCAACUCUGGCAGUACAAAGAAAGUCUCUCCUCUUUCCUACACACCUGCAUCUCAGCUGUGGAGAAACUUUCUGAAAAGUUUUACCAACUUAAAGAGAAUUUAUUCUCCUCCCCACCUGUACAAAGCAGUCUCCACCAACUAAAAGAGAAUACUUUGGAGAAAUUUUCUGAAGAGGUCCACCAAUUCAAAGAGAGUUUAUUUUCCUCCCCACCUGUACAAACCAGUGUCAGCUAUCAGGGGUAAGCAUCCAUCCAUGCAAGGAAGACGAUAAAGCGUGUACACACCCCUUGCCCCCCUGUGGUUUUACCUACGUGACCAUGGAGAGGACAUGAGAAAAUGGGAUAGAAAAUCUACCUCAACCCUAGACGCACAG